rnacentral:rRNA from 1 species
UACGAAGGGGCUAGCGUUGCUCGGAAUUACUGGGCGUAAAGGCGCGUAGCGGACAGCUUAGUCAGAGGUGAAAGCCCAGGCUCAACCUUGGAAUUGCCUUGAUACUGGCUAUCUUGAGUUCGGGAGAGGUGAGUGAAUGCCGAGUGUAGAGGUGAAAUUCGUAGAUAUUCGGCGGAACACCAGUGGCGAAGGCGACUCACUGGCCGAUACUGACGCUGAGGCGCGAAAGCGUGGGAGCAAACAGG